AGAGUUUGAUCAUGGCUCAGAUUGAACGCUGGCGGCAGGCCUAACACAUGCAAGUCGGACGGUAGCACAGAGGAGCUUGCUCCUUGGGUGACGAGUGGCGGACGGGUGAGUAAUGUCUGGGAAACUGCCUGAUGGAGGGGGAUAACUACUGGAAACGGUAGCUAAUACCGCAUAACCUCGCAAGAGCAAAGUGGGGGACCUUCGGGCCUCACGCCAUCGGAUGUGCCCAGAUGGGAUUAGCUAGUAGGUGGGGUAACGGCUCACCUAGGCGACGAUCCCUAGCUGGUCUGAGAGGAUGACCAGCCACACUGGAACUGAGACACGGCCCAGACUCCUACGGGAGGCAGCAGUGGGGAAUAUUGCACAAUGGGCGCCAGCCUGAUGCAUCCAUGCCGUGUGUAUGAAGAAGGCCUUCGGGUUGUAAACUACUUUCAUCGCGCAGGAAGACCGU
rnacentral:rRNA from 1 species